rnacentral:rRNA from 1 species
AUGAGGGCGCCGCCGCUCUCCCUCCUUCCUCUCCUGGUCGCCGCCGCCUUCCUGUCCCCGUCCCCCUCGAUCGCCACAGACAAGCUCGACCAGACCGCGUCCAUCGCCGGCAACCAGACGCUCGAGUCGGCCGGCGGGGUGUUCAGGCUCGGCUUCUUCGUCCCGCCCGGCAGCUCCGACGGCAGGGCCUACCUCGGCAUCUGGUACGCCACCAUCCCGGAGCAGACGGUCGUGUGGGUCGCCAAUCGCCUGAACCCGGUCGUCAGACCUCCCGGCGUCCUCACUCUCUCCGCCGACGGCCGGCUUGUGAUCCUCGACGGCCGUAACGCCACCGUGUGGUCAUCCGACGACGCGGCCGGCUCGGGCGGCGUAGCCACCCGCGCCACCGCGCAGCUGCUCGACAACGGCGACCUGGUCGUGAGCCACGGCGGGGAGAGUCAAAGUGGAUCGACGGCUCGGACCAGCGUGGCGUGGGAGAGCUUCGACUACCCGACGGACACGCUGCUCCCCGGCAUGAAGCUCGGGGUGGACGGCACGAGCGGCAUCUCCAGGAACAUCACGUCGUGGCGCAGCGCGGCCGACCCCUCGCCGGGGGCCUACACGUUCAAGCUCGUCAGCGGUGGGCUGCCAGAGUUCUUCCUCUUCCGGGGCAUGUCCAAGACGUACGCCAGCGGGCCGUGGAACGGCGCGGAGCUCACCGGCGUGCCCAACCUCAAGUCCAGGGACUUCAUCGUCCAGGUCAUAUCCAACCCCGACGAGACCUACUACACCUACUACGUCAGCGACCCGUCGGUGCUGUCGCGCUUCGUGCUGAACGGCACGACGGGGCAGGUGCAGCGCUUCUCGUGGCACCUCGGCGGCGGCUGGAGCAGCUUCUGGCACUUCCCGCUCGACCCGUGCGACAGCUACGCCAGGUGCGGGGCGUUCGGGUACUGCGACGUCGGCCAGUCCCCGCUGUGCAGCUGCCUGCCGGGGUUCCGGCCGCGGUCGCCGCAGCGGUGGAGCGUCGGGGACGGCUCCGACGGCUGUGUCAGGACGACCAACCUGAGCUGCGGGGAUGGAGACGGGUUCUGGACAGUGAGCCGUAUGAAGCUACCGGAGGCGACCAGCGCGACGGUGCACGCCGGCCUGACGCUGGACCGGUGCAGGCAGCUUUGCCUCGGCAACUGCAGCUGCAGGGCGUACGCGGCGGCGGACAUCAGCGGGGGCAUCAACCGCGGGUGCGUCAUUUGGGCCGUGGAUCUGAUCGACAUGCGGCAGUACUCGGAGGUCGUGCAGGACGUGUACAUCCGACUCGCGCAGUCCGAGGUUGAUGCCUUGACCGCUGCAGCUAACCGCCGGAGUCAUGUCGUGGUUGUGAUCGCCGUCAUGGCGAGUAUCUCCGGCGUGCUUCUUCUGGGUGCCUUUGCCUUUGGCUGUCUCUGUUUCUGGAGAAACAGGGCGGCGCCGGCCGGCAGUCGGGACAACGAGCUUCCAUUGCAGGCCAUAAAACUUAAACGCCCACGGGACGAUCAGCGGUUCUCCAACGAGAACAAGAUGAGCGGCGAAGAAGAUGAUCUUGACCUCCGGCUGUUCGAUCUAGCAGUGAUUCUGGCCGCCACGGACAACUUCGCCGCCGACAGUAAGAUUGGACAAGGUGGAUUUGGCCCUGUCUAUCUGGGAAGGCUUGAGGAUGGGCAGGAAGUGGCUGUGAAGAGGCUGUCAAGGAAAUCAGCACAGGGGGUGGAGGAAUUCAAGAACGAGGUGAAGCUCAUAGCCAAGCUCCAGCACAGGAACCUGGUGAGGCUGCUCGGCUGCUGCACUGACGGCGACGAGAGGAUGCUCGUCUACGAGUUCAUGCACAACAACAGCCUCGACACCUUCAUAUUUGGUGAUGAAGAAAAGCGCAAGUUACUAAGAUGGAAAACACGCUUCGAGAUCAUCGCAGGAAUCGCACGGGGGCUGCUCUAUCUCCACGAGGAUUCAAGGCUCCGGAUCAUCCACAGGGAUAUGAAGGCAAGCAACGUGCUGUUGGACAAAAACAUGAUCCCCUAA